rnacentral:misc_RNA from 1 species
UCCGAUUUGUCACCGGCAGUCUCCCAUGAGUCCCCGACAUUACUCGCUGGCAACAUGGGACAGGGGUUGCGCUCGUUGCGAGACUUAACCCAACAUCUCACGACACGAGCUGACGACAGCCAUGCACCACCUGUCAUGGGCCCUUUCGGACACCGUAUCUCUACGGCUUUUCCCAUUAUGUCAAACCCAGGUAAGGUUCUUCGGGUCGCAUCGAAUUAAGCCGCAUGCUCCGCCGCUUGUGCGGGGACCCGUCAAUUCCUUUGAGUUUUAGCCUUGCGGCCGUACUCCCCAGGCGGGGUGCUUAAUGCGUUAGCUUCGGCACGGAUGGGGUCGAUGUCCACCCACACCUAGCACCCAACGUUUACGGCGUGGACUAC